rnacentral:lncRNA from 1 species
CAUGUUUCAAAUUUAACAAAGAUAACAAAAAUAGCAAAUCCCAACUGAUUGCAGGACAAGCAUUGUCACAAGGCUACAAUCAGGGUGCAGUUUCAUAGUUAAUAAAUGACCUCUAAUACACUUGCUGGUUCCAAAAUAAGAGUCUCAUUACAUAAUUCAACUACACUGCAAUUUGGUAAUGUGAGCUUUCAGAGAGAAAGGAUAAGAAGAGCUCCAAUUGCCAUAAAUCCUGAGGUAUUGUGGAAAAGAAGUUGUGUCUGCUCUGUGUGGAAUUAGAGCCAUUUGUGUUACUCUUUCAAACAGAAUAAAACGCAUUGCCAUACAUUUGCUGGAUGUUGUAAGGUAAGUCAAAGACUGUUGCCUUUUAAGUUCUGAUUUAACUAUUUUGCAAACUUUCUAUUGAAUUUUUAUGCAACUAAAAAAAGAGAAGAUGUUAAACUGAAAGUUGGAUGAAGUAUGCCCAAGAUAAAUGCAUCCAAUACCAAAGAACUGAAAUAUAUUACAACAUACAGUAAACUAGUAUCCCUGUUCGAAGCUACAUUAUUCAUACCCCAGCAAUACCACAAUUGAAAUAUUCAUACCUCAACUGCUCGCUAUAAUCUGAGCAGUUUCAAGAGCUCGCUUCAAAUCAGAUGAGUAUACAACGGAAAUUGAACUCCCCUUAGAAAACAGGUCAGCCACCUAAGGAAAAGCAAGGAAUUUAAUUAGCACAAUGUGUUUAAUAAAUAGAUAACAAGUCAAGCCAUGACAACUUGACGUGUAAAAUUGAUUUAAAUUAGUUGCAUAAAUUAUUUAGGUUAACUGUUAAUCAUCUAUAAACCUGGAAGCUAUGGAAGCAGCAGUAACCCAUGCAGCGUAGUUCCCAUGAUCUUUCACUAUGUUCAAAUAUGAAGUUUAUCAUGAAUGUAGCUUCUUUAUCCCCAACAAAGAAGAAGCAAUAAUAGAACAGGUAAAGCAAAUGACUAUACAACUUUAUCAAUAUCAUUUUAAGAUAGAAAUGCAACAUUCAUAUCUUUAGCAAGACAAACAAGAGUAAAACAAAAACCUUCAUCACCAUCUCAUUUUCGUAAAAUAUUUUAGGAUUAUUUAAAACAUAGUUCACUUUUUUAUCAUUACUUUAGCAGCAAUAAAAUUAGGGGGAAAUUUUAAACUGAAAGUAAGUAAUGAAGGAAAAUAUAUAUUUCCUGCAUUUUCCGAGUGAGAAAUUCUUAACAGGAUAAAGAAAAUAAUAUAUAAAGUGACAAUACAUUAUUCUCAUACAUGAUAGCCAACAUAGAAAAAAAUGAUCAUUUAUGUAUAUAAAUAUGUGGAACUUACAGAUAUAUAUCAUCACCAUUGAUUUCUUGAAACAGAAUGAUAUAAAGCCAUCAUGGCUUACAUCUCUGCACAGAAAACCUGCCAAUAGCACUCAUAAAUGAUGAAUUAUCUCCUGCUGAAUAUUUCUCAACCAUGUUUGUAGUAUUCUCAAGAAACAGUUCGUAAAUGCAUGCCUUUGCUCUCAGCAGUAAGAAGAUGCUCCUUGGCCAUAGCCGGAGCAAUUCCCAAAGUUAUUGCAGCAUUACUGACACUGAUUCCCCUAAAUUGUCAUCAAUCAAUAAAUACCCCUAAGUUGUCAGUUAUACCUCAAUAUGUUUCAAAUCUAACACGCGUCACAUAAAUACAUAAUAGUAGAAUAAACAAGCAUUAAUCUAUGUAUAUAUUUGUAAGUAGUGAUAUAUGUAUGUAUGAGGAUAAAUUACAGAAAUUAUUAAUAAAAUCGUUUCGAAUUAGGGCUGAAGAUAAAGAGAGAGUGAGAAAGCAAUUACAUGGUAGGAGAAUGAGGGAAGAGCAGUGAGAGCACCUUCAGGGUAUGUAAAUCACGCUCUUCCUGGAAGAUGCAAAAUAUAUAUAAAUCAAUAUAAUAUAUAAUCUAUAGUUUACAUGUUAAAUACUUUUAUUAGAUGAGGGUAAAGGUCAAAAACAUAAAUCUAGAAUGGGUACCUUUGUUAUGGUUUAUUAAAGACGAUGGACACAAGCCAAGAAUCAUGUCUAUCAUCCUCACUAUACCCCUCCUAUGUUUCAUGUUAUUAAUCCUUCAAAUGUUUCAAGUUUAAUUAAGACAAAAGGCAUACCUUAUUUUAUUCUAGUUCUCAUCAUCUUCUUCGUCCAUACUUCGUUCUUCCUCGCUAUGAUAAUCCACAAGUAGCUUUGUAGUUAACAAAUUACUUAAUGGAAUAAUUAGACUCCACAUAAAUUAUAGCAGAAACAGAUAAGAGAGUAAACCACAGCCAAAUUCUUUGAGAUAUGCAAUAUCCUUCCUCCUGCAUUAGUGAAGUUUUUGACGAAUUGACCCACAUACAGUAGACAUAAUAUGUACCAAUAGCAGGAGGGUGGACGAACCAUUUUGCAGCAUGGCCCAGAAAAUCGAAAUGAUAGGAUGGCAUUUACUAGUGUCGUAAACCCCAGUCUUAAGGCUAGACAUACCUACUCUCACUCAAAUAAAAACUGAUUGUUAAAAGGAGUAGUAUAUAUAUUAAGGAGUUUGGUCAGUUCAAUAUAGAAAAAUUAAAAAUCAAAUAGAGUGGAGUUUUCCUAGACUAAUACUAGUAGUUCCUAGAAUAAGGAAAGAAAUGUGCUUUCGACUGCUUUAACAAAUGAAAGAUGAAUUAUGAGUUGUGAGAUUUUACAAACUUUACUAUUCACUGCUGUUUGAUGUCUUGGCGGCCUAAAUUCAGUUUGCUCUUGCUCUACUAAUCUAGGUUUUGAUUUGUUUUGUUUUACAUAUAUUUUCAUGAAUUCAUAUAUAUUGGAGGUUGAUUGUAACACCCCAGUCCCACAUCGAAAGAUAGGGGAAAAAUUUGUCUUCAUAUAAGGAAAUAAGUUACUACCAAUAGUACAUUCAAGUCAUGACCUUUUGAGAGCCUGUAGUGGGCUAAGAUGACCCAAGAAGAUACUAUUGGGCCAGUAGUUUGAGGUCUUAUUGUGAUGGAUUUGAUUCAAUUCGAACUUGGGAUUUGAUCCAAGAUUUGUUCCAGACUCGGGAUUUGACCUGGGUUGUUUCAUAUGGUAUCAGAUAUUCUUAUAAAUCGAAUUGAAGUUAUGUAUAUUAAAUUAAUUAAUUAAUUUUGUCGUCAUAAUUAUAAAAGUUUUAAUAAUAAAUUUAAUAGUAUUAUGUUAUUAAUAAUUUGAUUGUAAUAAAAUUUUAUUAAAUUAUUUAGAUUGAACGGAGAGAGUCUAAACGAGUCAAAUUUGGAGUAUAAACUUUGGGUAUUACAUUACUUAAUCCAGGUACGGAUUCCGUACUCUUUCAGCGAGACUCUUUUGUUUUUAAUUUGUUCGUUUCUUUAUUCAUUUCGAAAUUUAGUAUUGUCUCUCACAAUUAUUUCUUGUCAAUUUAUUAUGAUAGUUUGUUUUGGCGUUUAUAUUAGAACUCUUAUUUGUACUCUUUAGACUAGCGUAUGGGUCGACCCUAGUUUUCUGUUCUGUUCUGUUAUGCGGAUUGGUGAUGUUUGUGCUAAACACGCCUUUCGAUUUUACAUGCAUUGGAUUCGCGGUCCAAUGUGUGUGACUUGCCUGUGUGGCAUUAUCUGAUUUGCCUAUGUGGCAUUAUUUGACUUGCUUGUGUGGCAAGGUAUAUUUUUGUUUUAUUCUGAGCUCGGUAUGAAAUAACACCCAUCCAUUUGAUUCAGCCUAUUAUUUCGUUGUGUUAGUUUUGUUCGUUUCAUUUCAGUUCGUUUCGUUUCGUCUCUUUCCAUUUAAUGGAGUUAGUUAAUUCGGUUCAUUAUUUGUAUUCUAUAUCCGUACUGGACAUUUGGCUCAUGCUGUGUUUUCUUCCGGCAGGUAAUCAGGGGAAUCAAGGGCAAGU